rnacentral:rRNA from 1 species
GAUGAACGCUGGCGGCGUGCCUAAUACAUGCAAGUCGAGCGAACGGACGAGAAGCUUGCUUUUCUGAUGUUAGCGGCGGACGGGUGAGUAACACGUGGAUAACCUACCUAUAAGACUGGGAUAACUUCGGGAAACCGGAGCUAAUACCGGAUAAUAUUUUGAACCGCAUGGUUCAAAAGUGAAAGACGGUCUUGCUGUCACUUAUAGAUGGAUCCGCGCUGCAUUAGCUAGUUGGUAAGGUAACGGCUUACCAAGGCAACGAUGCAUAGCCGACCUGAGAGGGUGAUCGGCCACACUGGAACUGAGACACGGUCCAGACUCCUACGGGAGGCAGCAGUAGGGAAUCUUCCGCAAUGGGCGAAAGCCUGACGCAGCAACGCCGCGUGAGUGAUGAAGGUCUUCGGAUCGUAAAACUCUGUUAUUAGGGAAGAACAUAUGUGUAAGUAACUGUGCACAUCUUGACGGUACCUAAUCAGAAAGCCACGGCUAACUACGUG